rfam:Chelonia mydas contig229687, whole genome shotgun sequence.
CCUUCGAUAGCUCAGCUGGUAGAGCGGAGGACUGUAGGCUUAAUACCCCUGGGAAUCCUUAGGUCGCUGGUUCGACUCCGGCUCGAAGGA